AAAAAGAAAAAAUCCCGGAGCACGGCGACGAGCCCCUGGCAGCGCUCCCCGCAGCGCCGGGUGGCCGCGGGGGGGUCCCGGGCGCUCCGCAGCCGCGGCUCGGGGGGCGCCCGGCCCCGCGCAAGCUCCGCGCCCUGCGGCCCCCCCCGUUCCCUCCAGCCCCCCCCCCGCCACUCCCCCCGACCCGGCGCUUCGCCCCGCUCUCCCCCGCCGUCGGGGCUGCCGCGAGGAGCGCGGGGAAGAAGUUUGCCAAAGUUUCGGGUUUUUUCUUUUUUUUUUUUCCUCUCCCCGCUCCUUGCGCCUCGCCGCGGGGGCGGCGGGCAGGGGAGCGGGGCGGGCGGCCGGCAGCUCGCCGGUUGCAGGUGUGUGAAGGCGCCCGUCGGGAGGCUCCGCAGGCUGCAGCGCCGCACGGAGCCCCCCUCGGCCCGCACCCCCGGACCCCCCCACGCCCCGUCCCCCCGCCCUCUCUGCCGGGUGGGCUCCGUAGAGCACCGCGGCGGUGCCCCCGGCGCGGCCCCGUCCCCCGUCCACCCCGUCCACCCCCCCCGUGCCCGUGGAGCGCCGCCGAAGGAGCGGGAGCGACUCACUCAUGGGAGCGCGGCGGGCGAGGCCGGCGACACCUCCGGCUUCCGAGGCGCCGGCGAAGUUAAUUGCACUGAAGUUCAAGUUGUCUUUUCACCCAUCAGGAGUGGGCGUUUAAAGGAAGGAGAGCGAGGAGGAGGAGGGGGAGGGGGAGGGGGGAGAGUCGCUCUCGCUCUCGCUCGCUCUCGCACACACACACACACGCACGCACACACACACGGAGGCACAGACACACAGCCACACGCACAGACACACGGACACACGCACACAGCCACACGCGCGCACCCGCCCGCUCGGCUCCGCUCCCGAGCUGCCUCAGCAAGGAGGAGCCCGGACGGAAACCACCAGGGCAGCAAGACCCUUCUUUCCCAUCUUCGCUGCUGCACGCUUUGGAUGUGGAGUUCCUGGAAAGUGAACCUGGCAAUGAGCGCAGGUUUCCCUGAAAGCCGAGGCUGCUUUUUAUUCCCUAGGAGACUGAGAAGAGAGGGGACCCUGGAUGUCAGCCCAUAUCCUUUUUUUUUUUUUUUUUAAUUUAUUUUGACUUCGAGGCGCAUUGCCUUUUCCAGCCCUGGGAACUGGCAGCUACGAUUCGUGUAGACACCUUUGCGUGUCUCAGAAACAAGACCGAGACCAUGGAGUUGAUAUGUCAAUGCUUUUCUCAGUUAACCUGUGCCGCACUCUUCUAUUAAUUGGUAUUAGAAAGUGCAACCUUGUAGCGCAGUUAUUGAAUAAUCAUUAAUCCGUGGAGGAUACACAAGCCCAAAGGUUAAUAAUAAGAACAACAAUUAAUAAUAUUGACCUUGCCAGCAGGGGGAAUAUUUUUUUUUCAGUUAUUAAGAGGCACUCCCAUUUGUACGAGGUACAGUGGGGUGAAUUUGGCCAUGGUGUGUUGAGUACCAAACUACUGCAGGAAGCCCAG
rnacentral:lncRNA from 1 species